AUUAGAGGGAAAUGAGGAUCGUUACCUUAAGGACUGGAACACCACCCUUAAAAAUUCAAGGCUCUGGAUUUUAGAAUUGGGGUGAUGUGCUCUAUUUUCCUGUUUUUUGUGGAAAUGUGAGCAGCAGCAUUCUGUAUCAGCUGCAGCUGUAUGCUAUUUCUUUUUUUAGGCAGACCUGUGAAGACAUUGUUGCAGUAAUCAAUGCAAAUAAAGUUAAACACAUGGAUGAGUUUUUCUAGAUCUCGCUGAGACACUAGUCCUGUAAUCCUAAAAAUGUUCUUCAGGUGAUAGAAGGCUGACUUUGUAACUGUCUUUAUGUGGCUCUGAAGGUUCUGGUCAGAGUCCAUCACUACUCCCAGAUUUCAGGCAUGAUUGCUACUUUCUAGCAGUAAUAGCUGAAGCUGAGUGUUGACUCUAGAUUGGUCCAAAGAUGAUAAUUUCAGUUUUGUCUGCAUCUGUUUAGUGCUUGUAUGCGGUUCAAAGUCACCUGGUGACAUCGUAACAUCCUGCAUAGUUAUGGUAUCCCAUCUUAUUUCCUGUUAUUACCUGAGCUAGUAGGAGAAUGUAGAUAUUUUAAGUAAGAGGGGUCCUAGGAUCGAAACUUGGGAUACCCCACAUUUAACUUCUGUCCUCUUCCAUGAGAAAUUAACUAUUGAAACAAAGAAAUCUGUGUUCUUUAUGUAAGAUUCAAACCAACUGAGUACUGGACCAGAGAGUCCUACCCUACUCUCCAGUCAUUCAGUAAUAACUUACAUUGCCAAAAGUAUUCGCUCAUCUGCCUUGACUUACAUAUGAGUUUAACUGACAUCCCAUUACUAAGCUUUUGCAGCUAGAAUAGCUUUAACUCUUCUGCUCACAAAGUUUAGGAGUGUUUAUGGGGAUUUUUGUCCAUUCUUCCAGAAGUGCAUUUGUGAGGUCACAUAGUGAUGUUGGAUAAGAAGGCCUGGCUCUCAGUCUCCGCUCUAAUUCAUCCCAAAGGUGUUUAUUAGGUUGAGGUCAAGACUCUGUGCAGGCCAGUCAAGUUCAUUGACCCCAGACUCUGCCAUCCAUGUCUUUAUGGACCUUGCUUUGUGCUCUGGUGCUCAGUCAUGUUGGAAGAGAAAGGGGUCAACUCCAAACUGUUCCCACAAAGUUGGGAGCAUGGAAUUAUCUAAAAUGUCUUGGAAUAUGUAGUUCCUUUCACUGGAACUAAGGGGCCAAGUCCAUCUCCUGAAAAACAACCCCACACCAUGAUCCCCCCUCCACCA